rnacentral:rRNA from 1 species
GAUGAACGCUAGCGGCAGGCUUAACACAUGCAAGUCGAGGGGUAUAGUUCUUCGGAGCUAGAGACCGGCGCACGGGUGCGUAACGCGUAUGCAAUCUACCUUUUGCAGAGGGAUAGCCCAGAGAAAUUUGGAUUAAUACCUCAUGGUAUGUGAGAAUGGCAUCAUUUUCACAUUAAAGUCACAACGGCAAAAGAUGAGCAUGCGUCCCAUUAGCUAGUUGGUAAGGUAGCGGCUUACCAAGGCAACGAUGGGUAGGGGUCCUGAGAGGGAGAUCCCCCACACUGGUACUGAGACACGGACCAGACUCCUACGGGAGGCAGCAGUGAGGAAUAUUGGACAAUGGGCGCAAGCCUGAUCCAGCCAUGCCGCGUGCAGGAUGACGGUCCUAUGGAUUGCAAACUGCUUUUGUACAGGAAGAAACACUAGUUCGUGAACCAGCUUGACGGUACUGUAAGAAUAAGGAUCGGCUAACUCCGUGCCAGCCGCCGCCGUAAAAC